rnacentral:lncRNA from 1 species
UGGUGAGUAAGUCAAGUCCUUCUUGCCUGAAAGGAAUAGCUUGCUUUGUGACUGAAAACAAUUACUAAGUCCAAUUAGGCCUGAGCUCUUGUGGUAAAUUACCCAGCCCACUUCAACCAGUUCUUACUUCCUAAGGAAGUGUAAGCCAUACUUUCUUUCUUAGAAAGAUAGCCCUGUUGUCAGCCACGCUUUGUUUGAGAUCAGUUGUAGGGCAUGUGAACUUCUACUUCUUAGUAAACGGGCUUCUUCAAAGUAAGGUGCGAAGCAGAAGCCCGAGAGAGGAAUUAGAUCCUUUGCAUACAGAACAGGCUUUUUUCGAAAUAGAAGUUACAUAAAGUCUGGUGGUAUCGUAUAUAAGUAUAAGAAUAAGGCUUUUUUUAGGAGUUAUAAAUCUCACGCGAAAUUUCAUAAGAGAAGAAAGCAAAAGGCUUUGACUUGAGUAAAGUAGAGAAAGAAAAAGCUUUAUCAAAAAGCG